AAAUGAAUCCCAUCACUGCCUAUGCCACCAUUAUCAACCCUUUCACUUUCCUGUAGCGACUAAGGUGCUGUUUUACGUAUUCGUGCGCGUGCACCAGGCAGGCACAUCCGUCUGUCCUCUGCUUUACGGACAGACAGUGCAGAUCCCUGCUUUUUUCCUUCAGCUUCAUCACUUCACUCUGUGUCUGUUCUGUGUUGCUUCACCAAUCUGAUCACUGUGCCCACCUGGAUGCCUGGCAACAGCCCCCCUCCCUCUCGCCCUCCCCUCGCCUACUCUCGUUGAAGCUAUUUCCGCAGGCACGGCUCUCCUUGACUCGCACGGUGACACUCGUUGUGCAGCUUGAAGAACUAUAUCGACACUCAUGCUGGCCGAGCACAGCUACGCUGAUGGCGAUGCCGACGCCCCAUCGCUCAUCUACCUGAGCGAGCCGCUGCCGUCCUCAGUCAAACCGCUGGGACUCUCCCUCGCCGCCUCUUCGCUCAACGCCACAGCGGCAACACCGGCGGCGGCGCCGUCUGCAUCGCCGUCGUUUCGCGUGCGUGCGAUGCACCUCGACGACGUCGCCGAGGACGUCAUCCUCGUUUGCGAGGACAGCAUCACCCUAUGUGUGCCGUUAACUUGGAGCGCUGCUGCGGCGGCGCCAGCUAGCUUGGAAAGACCUUCAAAGUCGGAGAAAGACAGGAUCGAGACUGCUCACGGCAACGCCGCUUGUUUAGCCCAAGACGCAGCAUCGACUACUGUGAUGCACCGUCGAAACUGCCCGCCGGAUGCGCGUGGUACACUUCUCUGCUUGCCUUCUCCCCAUACCCCGCCAGCAGCACAGUCUUCCACGCCCACUGCCAGUGCCGAAGCGGCUGCGGCGUGCCUACGCAUGGCGAAUCCUUCACAAGUGUGGACGGCCCCUCUCUCUGCCUCCUGCUGCACCACAGCAUCCACCAGCGGGCUCUGCCUACCGCGGCGUCUGCCCAUGCCGCACGAGGAGCUCCGUCGCUCGGCGUCGGUGCUGAUGGCUGUGCCGCUACCGCCACCAGAGGCACUGCCAUCGCCUGCUUCUUCGACCGGCCGCAGCGAGACACCAGGGCUGACAUCGGGGCCGUUGGCUGUCUCUGGUUAUGGUGCACUCACCGCGCCUCCGCCGGUUAUGGCAGUCUACAUCAUGGAGUGCCCCGUGCUGCGUGAAGGUGUGGACUGCAUAGCGGCAUCGGCUGUUCCGCUCGCGCGCCCACUAGCGAAGGUUGUAUGCUCCCCCAACACGCUGCGCUUCCGCGAAGCGUGGUACCCGAUGCAGUUCUUCUGCUGGUGCGACCGCAACAGGGCUCCAGCUGCUGCCUCGACGACGACGACAGCGGCAGCGUACGUUGACCACCACCUCCUCUGCGUUUCCUCGAUCGCUGUCGACCUUGUGCAGGUGCGCUGCCGAGUCAGCCUCGCACUCGCACCUCAGCCGCCUCAGCCCCCGCAAGCGUCCACGAAGCCCUCACCUCUGCUCUCGUUUGGAGGUGGUGGCACACAGGAGGACGGGCACAUCGAGCGAGAGCCGGUGCACAUCCCGCCCGCCUCUCCGGUGAGUGCGGCGACAGCGGCUUCGAUGACCUAUUCAUCAUCCAUGGCGUCUUCUGCUACUGCCGACAGCGUGUGCGAUGGGGCCGCGCUGGUGUCCAUAAGCGUGCUGCAGCGCUACGUCACGCGCUCGGACUGGUGCACCUACGAUGCACGAAGUCGUGUGCUGCUGAGCCUUAACCACGCUCGCCCGUCGGUGGUGAAGCCGAUCAAGGUGUAUGUGGGGCGAAGGGCGUCUUCGGUGUACCGCGAACCGAGAGCAAAGUCUAGCAGGGCAGCUGAGGCAAGUUCUGCGCCACUGGAGCUACGCACGUUGACUGAGUUGACAUUACCAGAGAGCCUCUGCGCUACCCUCCAUAUGCACUGCCCCGCAGGACACGGCACUGCCACCGGCGCUGCGCCCGCUUCUUUGUCGGAGCUGCCGCUGCCGCUUCUCCGGUGCCCGCAGGCGUCGCAGCAGCUCUCCUCGGUGCUGGGCGUGCUGACGAUCUACGGGCAAUCUUUUUUAUACCACGUGUCCUCCGGCCGCGGCACCAUCGGCGGCCGACAGGACCCGGUGAUGAACCUGUACAUGCACGUCCCCUCCAAAGAGCACGGGCGCCAGCCCUUGUCCGGCAUGUCGCAGACCGAGAGGGCACUGAGUAGCGGAGUUGCCGGUGCUGGCGCAUCAGCGUCGGCUGCGGAAGCAGCGCAUAGCGACUCACUCUUGAGUCGACUUACGGCGGCGGCGUCGUUUGCCGCGGCCUCUGCGCCGCCGUCCAAGUUGUGUGGCGGCGUGUUUGUUCACGCUGCGCGGCUGUCCUUGACUGCGGUAAUCUCACGUGCGUCUCGCGACUCUCAAGCGUCUGCGCAAGACCCGUUGUCGGGUGCCGUAGGGGCUGACGCGCUUGCCGCGCCGUUGGCGCAGCUGCCGGGCUUAGUCUCCUUCUGCGUACAGGUGGUGGACAACCUCAUCGUGAUUCACUCCCCAGACACGGCUCGGUCGGCUGUGUACGACCUGGCAGACUGCGGCAGCAGCAGCGUGUCUCCCAUGAGCGCCGCUACCGCUUCUCGCAACGCAAGGAACAGCACGCUGGCGCGGAGCUAUGUGUGGAAGGCGGUGACCUCAGGCACCAUUGGCGCGGGGGUGCGGGCGCGUAAGCCUGCCGCUGCUUCAGCGCACUAUUCUUCUGAGCCGGCUCCUUCGUUGGGAGCUGGAGGGGGUGCGACUUUGGGCUCACAGGGGAUGGCAAACAGCGGUUUUGGUUACUCCCGGCUCUCUCGGCCGCACCACCACAGCGGCAGCAGCAUCACUGACAACGUCGACGACGCCUCCGCUUCAACGUCACGCUCACCGCUGCUACCGUCACCAACAGCGUCUCAUCCGCCAACUGCCGCCUUUAGCGCCGCGCAGGCCGCCGCCGCCGACUCACUAGCGGCUGAGCACCAGCACCGGCGCGACCGUUCGCGUCAUAGGAAAGUGGCAUUGCAGCACCAAGCUCCAUCGGCCGACUUUACAUCUAUGCUGUCCGUGUUGAGCAGCUCAAUGCUGGCGAUGACCGCGUCGGAUCCUACCACCGACGCUGCCGCUGCCGCAUCUGCCGUACCGUUGAUGUACCCGCUGUACUGCUGCGGUGCCGCUGCAGCGGUGGAGGGCUGUGAAGAGGGAGGUGCAGACGGCAGCGGAGGUGCGCCGAGGGACAGUGAGCCGGUCGUCUACAGCGACUAUCAGUGGCUGGCGGGUCCGCGGCUACCACUGGUGAUGAAGGCAUCGGACGGAACGCUGCGCGUGUGCCGUGUAGACGCCGCGCGGGUGGCGGCGUGGCGUCUGCUUGUGGACUUCAGCGACGAGAGCGACCGCGCCAGCCAGGAUCCUUUCUCGCCGCAGCAGGAGCAGGGCCUCGAUGUAAACACCUUGAAUGGCGAAGCAGCGGCUUGGCUUGUCCGCUCCUACGUGAGCUUCCUGUGCCGGCGCUAUCAGGUGUUUUCGGCUCGCUCGACCAACGACCGCAGCACCAGCAGCGUGCACGCUCUUGUCGGCCUUCUAGGUGAGCUCACCGUCCAGGCGGUGGGGUUGGAGGGUGAUGACGGUGACGGCAACGGCGCUGGAGUGUCCCGGACGGGCCCAUCUGAGUACUCCAAGGUGGAUGCGUUGCGACAUCUUCUGUGCAUGGCCACAGCAUCGACACCGGGCGUCGCAGGCAAGCAGUUGUACACUCUAUGGACGUGCAUGCUGGAGAACCUCACACUCGAAACCGCGUUUUCUGCCCGUUGCGUCGCGGUGGAGCGAGAGCGCUCUUUGGCCCUCGCAGGAGGGGCCGACGGUGCCGAUGUUGCGCGUGCAACCCGCUCUGUGGCAUCUGGUGAGCUCCUCAUCAGCUCCGCUGAGCUGCAGCAGCUCAUUUUACAGAAGGUGUUUGCUCCUACUUGGUUAGCCCUUCAGUCAUCUUUGCUAUGCCACCCCCAACAGCAGCAACAGCCUCAGAGGCGGCGCCAACUCGAGGGACUCCUCUGCGAUUAUGUGCGGCUCCUGCACAGCGCCGCCAUUCCAGUGGAGCCGCCCCUCCAGCACUUGCUUCUCGAGAUGGUUCUUAGCGACGUGGGAGACACUCCAGCGAGUCUGUUUAUGGCUUCUCAAUCGCCAUCCGCCUGCAGCGCUGCGCGUCGUGUGCAGGAGCUGCUGCGACAAGGGGUACUGGAGCAAAACGAGGCCACGGCGCGCUGGCUGCUGGAUUGGUGGGGCGCAUCUCAGGAGGUGAGAGCAUCGAUGCGGCGCAUCGACGCAGCUGAUGCGAGUGCGCGUCGCCUCAACGCGGGCGAGCCCUCAGCGGAGCGUCGCGCUGAGCCGUCAGGUGCAGUGGCCUCUGCUCCCACAUCCCCGGCCGCGGCGACGCCAACGGCACAGCAAAGUGAGGAUGUGCCGUUCUCUCCUUUCUGCCCCGGUGAAGACGCGGAGGAGACGGAGAUUCUCUUUGGGGAGGCGGUGCGUCUUCUUGAGGCGCAUGGCUUCUUACUGGAGGUCGCGGAGGCGUACAGCUGUCGCUCCCACUUCACCGCUGCCGCAGCGGUGUUGCAGCGCGUUCCACAGCAGAGUAAGCUCGCUGAGGUGCCCGCGGUUACACUAUCGUCGGUGCUGUCGCACCGUCGGCAGACACGCGUGCUGUCGUGGGACUCCCUAGCUCUCUCCGUGCUGGAUGGCGCGUGGCGGUGUGUGCGUUGGGCGGAGGAGGCGCUCUUCAACGCCGGCGGUGCCGCCGUCGUAUCCCAGCACCAGCUUACCGCAUCGGAUUUCGCCUCGAACCCACUGAAGUCUUGGCGAACGCGCUCGCUGGAGCGACAAGUUCAAGCCGCGCAUCGCGUGUACAUCACCGUGGCAAGGAAACUGCUGGUAAGUCUGACGGCUAGCGCGUUGUCGCCUUCGUCAGCAAGCAAGGCAGCGCAUCCUAGCCAGGGUUCCCUCGCUGCGACCACUUCGCCUAAUGUCGACGGCCGGUUCCACGUGCACGAAAUACACUACGAGCAGCUGCUUCGCCAGAUGGAGCAGGGCUGGCACGAGCUAAAGCAGCGAGGCGGAGCAUGACGGAUGCGGAUGGGUGUCGCGGCAGCUGUGCCUCUGUGGGCGUUGUUGCCCGCGUGGUGCUCCUCGACUUUGCGCAUGCUCUCACUGAAUCAUCAACAUGUGCCCGCGAAGAAAGGGGGGAAAGGAUGAAGAGCCGAGCAGGAAAGCCCCACCGCGUCGCCACGUGCACUGCGCCAGCAGUGAUGGACAGAAAACGGAGGGUUUGAGGGGCGGAGGGGAGAUCAAGUCUCGCUGAGGCCCGGGGUGGUGGUGGUGGGCGCGUGCGCGCGGGUCGAUGUCUGUGAUGGCGUCUUUUCGCACACUUGACGCUAGCGGCAGACGAAAGGCAACGCGAGUCGAGUGCGGCCCGCUGCCAAGGCACAGCAUCGUCGUCCUCUGUCCUCCGCCUCCGUCUUCGUCUUCCCUACUCUCGCACCACCAAGCAGAUGAACAUGGAAAGAACGGGCUGGAGGGACAGCAGCCAUCAUACACCGCUGCGGUACAUUCACCUCCGGUAUGGUGGUGGUGGUGAUGGGUAGCCCUCACUCCACUCUCUUGCACCCGCUUCGCCUGGCAUCGACGCCCCGGCUCCAGUACAUGCAUUGCCCUCCCUCCUCCCAUACACGAACAUGGCGCUGGAAUAUGCGACAGGCAUGCAUGACGCUGAAGUAUACCCCUCUCCCUUUGGGGGGUGGGUGGGACCGACCGCACUGCCGCGCUUAUUUUUGCAGUCCUCUCUGCGUGCGUGCUCGCUCUCUCCGGCACCCCAGCUUGCCCGUCUUUGCACCCCCGCCUCUCUCACCCUUCCUUGGCUGAGCCCCAAGCCGCGGUGCCAGGCGGCGCCCAGCUGUGUGUGAUAGGACCGGCUGGAGCCCGGCUUUUCAAUACGUGGUCGCCGUGCCUGCCUCUUCGAGUGCGGUGUGCAUGCCAGAGCGCAGUCUCCCGCACGGUGACCCGCGGAGGUGCAGCGGAAUGCUCGAUAUGGGCGGUGAAUCCGCCCCCAUCGACCCCCAACGAUUCUAUGACUGGGAGGUGGGCAUUGGCGUGCCGCCGUUAGUCGGCAGCUUCGGGCUCGAAGUUCUGCGUGGCCGACGAGAACGAAUACCCGCCAGACGAGGAGGCCAACAUCCGCGUCCGGUGGCAGCCGCUCUGCGACGUGCUCCUGCGAUUCAGGACCUCUUUGGUGAGGCCUAGGGCAGGGCUGUGGAGGAGGCGCUGCUGUCUAUCGAAGUCCAAGGGAGAGAGGGGUUGCAGCCGCAACACAGCGGCGUGUGUGCAUUCAUCGGGUGCCUCGCCCUUGUCGUUGUGGCCGUCUCGCGCUGCCUUUUUGUGUCUUUCUCCCUUUUCUCGUGGCGAGAGAGGAGGACCACGGGGCCGCGCCCUUUCACUAUCCGCGGCCUGCUGCUCCUCGCUUUUCUCCUUUGCCGCGCCCACGCUCAGUGCUGCCGUCUUCUUGGCUAUGCCCGGUGCGGCGCGCGUGCUGCGAGAAGGUUGCAAGGGCAGAGACGGCUCUCCCGAUGUGCGCUCUCGGGCACGCACACACGCACACACACAGAGAUGCACACGCACCUCUCUAUAUCUAUACAGGCACACACCCUCUUUC
rnacentral:misc_RNA from 1 species